UUCACUAUAACUUUUUUUAAUAUUCUUCCUAUUAAAUUGCUUUAUUGGUCAUAUCCAAACACAUACAUAUAUAAUUUUACAUGAAUGAAAUACAAUGUUAAUGCCUCAAACAUAGUUGGUAUUCAAUAACUGGUGGAUAAAUGAACUUUCGAAAACCCUGGAUUUUUGUAUCAAUUAAUUUGAAAUACAUUACCAUAUAUAACUGAAUAUAAUCCAACUGGAUAAAUGUUAUCAUGACUAAUUUGCCUAGCCUUACAACUUAACAGGUUACAUCAAUUUUACAAGUAUAACUAAGGUUGCAAUGAGUAUGCUUGAAUUUACAUACAUCUUUAAACACUUCCUACUAUACCCUAUAGGUAAAUUUCUACAAAUAAAUUUGUUAGUCAAAAUGUGCUAAUUUCCAUCUGAUAGAUAUUUUCCACUAUCUCCCGAAAAAAUUCUCCACCCUGUAUUAGCAAAUGUAACUAUUCAUCUGAUAGGUGAAAAAAGCAAGUAAUUGUUGAUUUAUUUCAUUAUGUGCUUCAUUUUUUGUGUGUUACGUGUAUGUACACACAGACACAUACAUAUAUAAUUAUUUCAUUAUAUAAUAAUUUAUAAUUGUUUAAUAUAUCUAUUUAAUUAAUUUAUUAUAAAGAUUGAUAAAGUUGAGCAUAUUUUUAUAUGCUCUUUGCCAAUCAUAGAACACUUUUUAAAAAAAUUAUUUAUUUAUUUUUGGUGAGGAAGAUUGGCCCUGAACUAAUAUCUGUGCCAAUCUUUCUCUGUUUUGCAUGUGGGAUGCCACCAUGGCAUGGCUUGAUGAGUGGCAUAUAAGUCCACACCCGGGAUCCAAAUAUGCGAACCACAGGCUGCCAAAGCAGAGUGCAUGAACUUAACCACUAUGCCACCAGGCUGGUCCCAAUACUUUUCUUUUACGAAUUGUUAAUUUAUAUGCUUUCUCACUUUCAAACUCAGAUAUCUUUUUUCUAAUUGAUUUUGAGUGACGUUUUCAUAGAAUAUUAACAAUAAAUUGGCCAUAAAAGUUUCAAGUAAACACACAUAUAUAUUUUUAGUUGACUGCAAAAUUAAAAAAUAGGACAAUUUAAGUAAGUUAACAAUUUUUAGACUCUCUUUUUAUUUCUAAACCCUCUGAUGCACAUAAUGUGGACAAACAAGAAGAAACUUUGAAAACACAGUUCGAUUGGAUUAAAGAUUGUAUCCACUGGUUAUGUAUAUUAUUGACUCUUUCACGUUUUACAAACUAGGUUAAAUAAUAGCGUUGGAAUAUAUAAAUCCUAUUCUGAGAUGUUGAAACAAUUAUAACUCCUCAGAUGAAGUCAAAAUAGACUUAAGUCAUUGCCCAAGGAGGCUGGAUACCACCAAAAAAGCUGAGAGAAAUCGCUAUAUUCAAUGAAGGCCAGAAAACUAUGUAAUAUUGUCUUUAAUGUACUAGAAAAAAAUUCAAGCCAUAAUUCUAUAUUCAGUAACAAUAUCCCUUAAUAAAGAAGACUAAAACAGACAGUAUCAGAUAAAAGAAAACUAUAAAAAAAUUAGGGCCAGUCGUCAUAGUGCUAAAGCAAUUUCUGUGGGAAGAAAGAGAAUGAUAACAGAAAGAAACGUGGACCUUCAGGAUAGAAUGAAGUGCAUGGAAACUGACUAAUAUUUAAGUAAAUAUGAAAUAUUAUUUUUCCCUCAAAUUCUUUACAAUAAAUACACUUAUUUAAAACAAAUAUAUGAUUGGCUGUAGAGUUGAUAGUAAUGGAAAUAUAAUAUAUAUGACAACUCUAGCAUAAAGAGGGCAGGGACUAGGAAAAUGAGUAUAUGUGGGUUUAAGAUUCUUAUGUUUAUGUGAAGUAAUAUAAUAUUUACUUUUAAAAGACUGAAAAAACUAAAUAUAUAUAUUGUAAUCAAUAAAAAAUGCAAGGAGAUAGACUUAAA
ensembl:lncRNA